rnacentral:lncRNA from 1 species
CUCUGCACGCUGAAGUCGCUGCAGUGACCUCCGUACCUGACUCUUAGGGGAUUUCUCCUGAGAAUUUGGGGGCCGGGGGAGAGGGUUGUAGGCCUAAUCCGUUGUUGUUGUAUUUUGACUGGGGGCUUGAUUUCUUUUGUCGGGAGCUGAGCCAGGAAGGGUUCGCAUGGCUGCGGUGUGCUUGCUAAUAUCGUCACUCUGACUUCUGCAGAGUAUCCGAGAGGGGUCUCCUGGGAUCUCAGUUUUAAGGUUCUCUGGAAGGUACAAUGGUCAGGGACCCCACUCCUCCAGGAGAUUCUGAUCAAAGGUCACGUACUUCGCCAGCCUCUAGUGUCCAGCCAGAAGUCUUAAAUUUAUUCAUCCGUAAGAUUGAGAUAACAUCUGGCUGGGCUGUUGUGAGCAUUGAAAGAGCUAAUGUACUUGUAGUGCCUAGUAGACUGUUCCAGGCAUCUGGUAGGCGCCUUUUCUUUUUCUCCCUGCUCCAGAUCUUUGGAUUCUAGGAAUGUAUCCGGAGUGAUAAACAUUGGGCGAGAUACUGUAUAUUGGGAGUGGGUGUGUGAAUGUGUGGGGAGUUUGAAUGUGGCAAUCUUGACUUCAGUGGCGCAUACACAGGAGGAGAAAAGGAUAAGAUGGAAACUUUGGGGAAAAUCCACAUCUGGAUGAAAAUAAACCAGAAGAGGAGAGAGAGAGAGCGAAGACCAGCAGAAAAGUAUUUAAACCAAGAGACAGUUGUUUGACAGAAUACAAGGAAAUAGAAAAGAUAAGUGAAUGGAGUGAUUGAUUAGUGUUUGGAGCUGUACGGUACGAAAGUGGAUAUCCUGUCUGGUUCCUUUGUUUUAGGUUGCAAGAGAACUAGAACCCUGAGAGGAGAAGCAGUUUUCACCUUCUUACUAGCAAAUCUUGUUUUUCUCUAUAGUGGUUUUUAUUAACUUCCAAAGGAAAACUGAAGAUCCUAACCCCUGUGUCAUGAGUUAUCACGUUAAAAGUCCAUAGAAAAAAUUUUUUUUAACCCAGUUCUUUUUGUGUAUAUAUUUU